GACGGAGGGUGCUAGCGUUGUUCGGAAUCACUGGGCGUAAAGGGCGCGUAGGCGGCUGUGGCAGUCGGGUGUGAAAGCCCGGAGCUCAACUCCGGAACGGCACUCGAGACGCCACGGCUGGAGGCCGGAAGAGGAGGGUGGAAUACCCAGUGUAGAGGUGAAAUUCGUAGAUAUUGGGUGGAACACCGGUGGCGAAAGCGGCUCUCUGGUCCGGACCUGACGCUGAGGCGCGAAAGCGUGGGGAGCAAACAGG
rnacentral:ncRNA from 2 species